rnacentral:lncRNA from 1 species
AUCCCUAAUUCUGGAUCAGCAAGCGAGGGGGAAAGACCGGACCGCUCCGACCCACCCCCUCCCUACCCCCACCUCCCACCUUAAAGCACCUUAUACCACGGAAGGCUCUCAGCCUCUUCUUUCCUCUGCGAACGCGCUGAGCAGCGAUUGAAAACGUUUUGGUCCUCUGCAGCUCCCGAAAUCGUUUCUCUGGACGCGGCAGUAUCCGCAGCGCAUGCACCCUCCUCUGGACUUCCGCAGCCCAGACCUGCGCUUACAGUCAUCGCGCCACCCCCUCCCCCCGGGCUGCGGGCCCCGCGCUCCGUGGGCUCAGGGUCCCCUCCGCGUCCCCCUGAAGCCUGGGGACGGAGGUCGCGACCGGCCGACUGGGGGGCGCAUUCUGGGGUCUCUGCGCAAGACCAGCUCUCAGCUCUCUCUCCUUUCCUCGGACUCUGGAGCGGGAGCGGGCCUUUCCCUCGGGUCGACCACGCCGUAGGGGACGCCGUGAAAAGAGCCGUCGCGCCCGCUGCCUCCUGCCCGCUGCGCAGAGGGCUCCGCCCGUAGAGGUCAACUUCCCUCACCCUUUUCUCUCUCCUGCUUGCCCUCCCUCCGCCCGGCCCAGGCGCUUCCAGCCCCAGACUGUGGCCACUGGCUGAGGAGUGCGAGUCGGCUGCGCUGCCCUGAGCCUAAUCCCUCUUCCGGGCCCAGACCCGAGGUCCGCGCUCCUGGGCAGUGGGGAAGCUUUAGUGAGCAGGCUUUUCUCUCCGCAGCAAACUUGUAGCCAGACCAGAUGGGCCGCCCAGCUCUCUCGGGACUAGGCAGGUGCGGAUGAGUUAAUUUUUCCGCAUUACAAAGAAAGAUGACCCAGCCCGCCCUUGGACUCUCUUUUCCCAAAAUCUCCCAACCAAACCCGCGGUAACGUUAUCAAAGGACACAGAGCCCAGGCAUAUCUGUGUGUUUAUCUUACAGGCACACACGCAUGGUUUUCUCUUUUAUAUGCUAGAUUUCAUCCCUGACAGCAGAAAAUGAUUGGCAAUGGUUAUGACGGAGAACAUGCAAUAGCGUGGUCCUUAAAAACCUGCCAUUCCUUACAAGUGCCUUAGAAAGGAUUCAGGGCGAACCAACUGGGUUAAUUGCAUUCAGUAAAAUAACACGAUUACAAAAUUA